UAGCCAUGAUGAGAACAAAGUCUUAACAUCUCUUUGAAUUUCUCCCAAGGUUCACAUAAAGACUCUCCUUCUUUUUUGAUUGAAACUUGUAAAUUGGUUCCUCAUUUG